GGUCAGUUCUUGGCACCCUGGAAUCAGGAUCCCUCCUCUCUGGUUCCGGGUGCGUCACCCGAGAACCACA
rfam:Myotis lucifugus cont2.45302, whole genome shotgun sequence.